rnacentral:tRNA from 1 species
GUCAGAGCGCUCAUCGGGUUGAGGGCCUAGUCCCCUUCACAGGGGGUGGGGGUUCAAAUCCCCCCUCCGACA